ACGAACGCUGGCGGCAUGCCUAACACAUGCAAGUCGAACGAGACCUUCGGGUCUAGUGGCGCACGGGUGCGUCACGCGUGGGAAUCUGCCCUUCGGUUGGGAAUAACUGAGAGAAAUUUCAGCUAAUACCUUAUAAUGUCUUCGGACCAAAGAUUUAUCGCCGAGGGAUGAGCCCGCGUAGGAUUAGGUAGUUGGUGGGGUAAUGGCCUACCAAGCCGACGAUCCUUAGCUGGUCUGAGAGGAUGAUCAGCCACACUGGGACUGAGACACGGCCCAGACUCCUACGGGAGGCAGCAGUGGGGAAUAUUGGACAAUGGGCGAAAGCCUGAUCCAGCAAUGCCGCGUGAGUGAUGAAGGCCUUAGGGUUGUAAAGCUCUUUUACCCGGGAUGAUAAUGACAGUACCGGGAGAAUAAGCUCCGGCUAACUCCGUG
rnacentral:rRNA from 1 species